GCUUGAUAAAUUAAAACGCAUCGGAGGAGGAUCACAUAAAGAGACAGUCCAAAAUAUUAUGUCUGCCAUAAUCACCCCUGAGCUAGCAACAUCCCUCAGCUGGACAGGGAAAGGACCACCGGGUAGGCCUAAUAUACCAAUCGGAUCCCUGAAUGUGACGAAAAUUAUUAUGGAUUAUUUUUGCUAGUACAAAAGCCCCUUCUUGACAGGGAUUCCUUAACAAGACCUCGAGAUGCGACAUUUGAGUUCUGGAAACUGACAGACCACUUCACCAGGAAGGAGAUAACCAAAUGGUUGGCUAAAUGCAAGGCACAUUCCAAGAGAGUAGCCAAACAGAACGACCAAACACAGUAAAAACGCUUUUAACAUUUUAUACAACGAUAUUUCCUAUAUAUUAUGUUUCCUAUAUUUUCCCUACACAGUUUACUGCUCACAAGUCUGUCCUGGCUAUGAGAAUUUUGUCCUCAAUUGGCUAGGAUCACAUGAAAACAAAAUGAAAUAAAGAGAAAAUGAAAAAUAAGCCUAUACAGCGGGUCCCAAAAUGAUUGUCCCUCAAACAAACAACCGAAUUGAUUCUAAAAUUAAGUAUUAUUAUGAAUUAGAUGUGCAGAACUAGUGUCCUCAUUUCAUGCUCUAAUAUCUAUUUAAAAAGAAAAUCAUCGGUCUCCCUGUACAGCGAUUUGAAUACAUGAUGUAGGGGAGAGCGGGACGAGUCCGCCCUCUUUUUUUCAUGCUCUUCUAGAAUCGUCCUUUCUUUAGCAGGAAGGUCGUGUUUUAGGAUGUGUAAAGGUCUAGGUAAUAUACCUUAUGUUCGGCGAGGACAUGCAUACGGUUUAAGCAAAAAUGGGCCAUAAAGAAAAUUUUCGCUGCAGGGCGAACCUGUCCCACCCUGGGGCAAGUUCGCCGGUUAUAUAGGCGGGGCGACUUCGUCCAUUGGGAAUAGCAGUGAUAAUUUUAUGAAACAAAAUGAUGUGUUCAAAGACACCAAGCAUUUGUUUUCAUAUUGGAAGAACAACGACUUCUAGUUGAGUGACAUCAUCAACUCUCUCAUCUACAUAUCACUAAGUUGUGCAUAUAGCUGUUUUGUGAAAAAUAAUCGAAACUUAAAAAUGUCAUAACUUUCUUAUUUUACAUCAGAUUUUGAUUACAUUUCCAGCAUUAUGUUUGUUUGAUUUUUCAUUAUUGAUUCAAAUCAAGUUUUUCCUGGGGUGGACUUGCCCUUUAAUGAGGUCAAGAUAAUUUACCUAUUCGUAUAUUUAAAAGUCGAUUUCCACUGGUGUACUGUUCGCUUUCGCAAAGUGUGAUACACAUGUUGUUUGUCCUACAUCGUUAUAUGUAUUGUACUGCUCGUACUUCGUACAUACUUUUUCAGAUUGGUGCACUGAUUACCCUAUCAAUCUUCAAGUUUACUUCAUGCUGGAUGUUUCUUGUCCCUCUUUAACUUGUUUGAUUUUUUUAUUUAAGGAACUUAGACCAUGACAGUGAAUCAACAUUUUUGGGGGCAGGUUGUUUGAAAUACAUGAAUCCUUUCCUGGUUGAAUUAAUGUACUGAAGAAGUUUCCUGAUGUGUAACGAAAAAAAAAGAAAAUCAUAUCUUUGUCAGUAUUCGACCAUAUUACAUGAAAUGUCAUCCAAUUGUAGGAAAUUGUAGAAUUUGAAAUGUAAAUAUAUAAUGUUGUAAUUUUCAUAUUAUACCCCGCUCCAUGAGACAAGCUGAUCGCGAUGUCAGCAAGACCGGUAGUCUAAAGAGAGGAAACCAUUCUAUACUCAGUUGAAAGUAAUUAAGUUAUUGGCCCCUUUAUGUAGAUUCAGACUUGUUGAAGAACAAAACGUAUUUUUUAUGCCUUCAACAUGUUCAAUGAUUAAUAAUGUUUGUAGUCUAAUGCCUGUAAAUUAAGGGAAGUAUUGGUUUAUGUAGUUAUAGUUGUACUAUUGUUUUGGUUUUUUGGUUGUUGUUUCUUUUAUAAACAAAACAUGUAUUAUAAAGUAUAAUAAAGGAAUGCAUUUUACCACACUGUAUAUCAAACUUGAGCAAUCUUGGAACACGAAAAACGGACCAACUAUCAUGGCGGCCAUUUUGAAUUUAAAAUGACAGCUGAUACACGUGAAUCGCCAAUAAUUUUAAUAAAAUGACACGAUCAAAUUUUAAGAAGUUUUCAUGUUCAUGUAAAUCUAGGAUGUUUGUAACCAGAGAUACGAUAAAAAUGGCAGUGUUGGCCAUUUUGUAUUUUAAGAUGGCGGCCAUAAACGUGCAUGGUAAAGUUAUCAAUAAUUUUACAUUGAGAUAUGAGACUGUGUGUCCUAUUUUAUAAGAGUGCAUUUUUUCGGAAUUUGACCUUGUAUAUACAAUACCUAGAAGAAGAGAUGUGGGUCAAAAUACGUCUCAUAAUGGCAUAUACAGUUACAAACGACUUUACAAACUGCUGGUUUAUUUACAGUUUGAAAUUCAAAUGGCGUCUGGAGAUGAGGUCAGCACAAUGGUAACAAUACAAAGUUAGCAUUAAAAAAAUCAAUUUGAUAUUGUGACAUAAUAGACUGUCUAAAUUCCUGUUGAUUCCUGCUUUUGAAAGUUUCAUCACAUAUAUUUGUACAUUUUACUUUUUACGUUUUUUAUGAACCAAUUUUACUUGUGUUUUUAACAUAAUCAGUUUUACUUAGUGGAAGCGCCGUGGUGUAGCGGUUCUGACUCUCGCCUUGUAAUCAGAGGGUCGUGUGUUCGAAUCCCACCAUGGCCUAGCGCCCUUUGGCAAGGCGUCAAUCCACACUUUGCCACUCUCACCCAGGUGCUAAUUGGGUACCGGUAGGAAACAACCGUCAUUGUGGUUGGUUUAGCAAGUUUGCGCCUAACAGGCUGCUUGGAAUGCUAUGAAUCCAGUGACCGGGUAAUAAUAAUUGUAAAGCGCUUUGAACAGUCGUAGAUUGAUAAAGCGCUAUAUAAAUGCCAAUUAUUAUUAUUAU